rfam:Actinomyces graevenitzii C83 genomic scaffold supercont1.10, whole genome shotgun sequence.
GUUGGUGGUUUUAGCGAGGGGGUUACACCCAGUAUCCUUUCCGAACCUGGAAGUUAAGCCUUUCUGCGCUGAUGGUACUGCAACUGGUGGGUUGUGGGAGAGUAGGGCGCUGCCAACC